rnacentral:lncRNA from 1 species
AGUGAAGCCAGAUGCUUCCAAGACCAGCCAGGGAUCCCGCUGUGGUCGGGCUCCGCCUUCCUUCGCUCUCUGGCAGCACGGAUGGAGCCAGCACCCUCUCUGAGGACCUCAGAGGACACUCAGAGCGAAGAUGUUCCAGGAGCUCAGACCUGAGCCCCUGUGUGUGUGCUGACGCCCAGACCUGGAGGAACGGCGUUCCCAGCAGAGGGAACAGCAAGGACAAAGCCCGAGAAGCAGGUGCUUUCAAGAGGAAAGCAUUAAUGGGUUCAAACACAGUUGUCCAAGACAAAGAGAAAAAGAACAGGAUUGUUGGGGAGAAAAGAAGUUUUCUGCCAAGGAGCUCGUCUCCAGAGGCAGCCGCCUCCUCUGUCCCGCACUCCUGCAUCCGUCAUUAGCCAGCGGCCGGAGGCAAGGCUUUCCCGUCGUCAUCAGCCGCCGGCAGCAGCGAGGCUUCGCCCCUGGGACGUACCGCUGUGCUCCGGCCUGGCAUCUGCCCCCAGCCAGCCUCCCUGCUGUUGAAGAUCCCCCGCCGCCUCGCCUCCCGCCGUCGCGGGUCCCCUGGUUGUGAGCGAGGCUUGAACCUGGAGCCCUGAUGUUUAUGAACAAAACGUGGGCGUCCUUCUCUCCCUGAGGUCCUCGCCUCACGCUUCUCCGCGGAAGGCCCUGCCGACCUCCACCCUCGCGACCUGGAUGGAGGGUUCCGAUGACGCUUUCAUCAAGUGCUGUUGUUUUCCGGGCACGUCCGUCUCCGCCCGCAUCGCCCAUUUCCAGUGUACUCUUUGCUGUAACGUCGGUGUCUGGCUCACGCGUGCCUGCAGGAAACAUUAAGGACACUCGUAAAGGAAGGCUGGGCUCUCGCACCCUUACCAUCUCUGCGUGGUCAUUCUCUUCCGAUUCUUUCCCACAGAGACCAUCACAGGACACUGGGCAGGCUCCUGUCCAGACAGCAGGUCCCCACCGGCCAGUCAGUCCCUCGACUCAGGGUGCACGUGCCACAGGCUUGCCGCUUUGCAAGCUGAAAUCUGUUUGAAAGGGUAGAUGCUGAAUCGGCUUCAUUAUUGAGAAGAUGUCUUUCCAAAUAUUAUUUACACCAGCCUGGAUCACAGGAGAGUUUCGGCGAGAAGACAGGGUCACGGGUGAAGACAGGGCGGUCCCAGAGGUGGGUUCAGAGCUGGGGACCGUCGCUGACCCCGCUGAGGCUGCAGCCCCUAACGCCUGUCACACACAGUCGGGCCGGCUGUUAGCUGUGACUUUUUGCUGUGACAGUGAAUCAGUGAAGGAAACCUCUCUCCUUGCUCCUUACUUCGAUUCCAACAUCAGACCGAUUCACGCUUUGCCAAGAGCCACGCGACUCGCAGCAAAGUGGGUCUGCAUCCCGCGUGUCGGAUGCCAAACUCUGGUGUGUGUGCGCAUGGCCCCUUCUUCCGGCAAUGCCAAGCCGCUAGGUCCGAGGCUUGCCCUUCUGGACCCCAGCUGUGCUUAAUUUUUUUACUUUUUAUAUUUUUUUUCUUUUUAGGGCAGCCCCCAUGGCCUAUGGAAGUUCCCAGGCUAGGGGCAGAAUCGGAGCUGCAUCUGUGACCUACAGCAAGGCCAGAUCCUUCACCUACUGCGUGAGGCCAGGGAUCGAACCCGCAACCUCAUGGACACCAGGUGGGUUCGUCACCCGUUGAGCCACAGCAGGAACUCCGGCACCCGCUGCACUUUAGGAUCCCCGAGGAGACGCCAAGGUCCUUCUUUCGAUGAUUCUUAUCACGGACCGCAUUGCCAGGCUCUGCUUUGCUUAUCCUUUUUAGGAAUUUUGGAAUAACAGGGGACACUUUUUUUUUCUCUUGGUCUUGGCGUGCAGCAGCUUGCUGUGGGGCCUCAAUUCCCAGACCAGGGGCUAAACCCAGGCUGCAGCGGUGAAAGUGCCGGGUCCUAACCACUGGGCCGCCAGGGAGCUCCCCGGGGAAUACUGUUUGUAAAUGACCACAGGAGGAACAGCGAUGGUGGACCACCCAGGACGGCGGGGGUGAGAUCUCCAGCGGGCAGGGGUCCCGGGUGCACCAAGACGGGCCUGGUAGGGCACCAGCCUCGCCUGCGCCAAGACGCUUCUGUGGGAUGUGGCCUGGGGCAGCCCGCCUGAGGCACCCACGAGGCUCCCGUUCUUCCGACAGACACCCACCUUCCCCAGGAUCAACGCCAAGGUCGUCAGUUAACCUGGAAAAGCGAUCGGGCACAGCACAGCUGUGGAAGUUUGGUAGCAUUUUGGUGCCGAAAGAGCCGUGGUGAGGGCUUUGUUCUUCCCCCAAUAAGAGUUUGUAAAACUUUUUUGUUUUCCUCAGCAUUUAUGUUUCUCCUUCUUAAACAUGAAAUAUCGUCCCAGGAAAAACGUCUCUUUUCCUUGUCGUUACUGAUUCCUGACGCCACGAGAGACCUCUAGAAGGUUCUGGCUGGAACGGCUUAGGCGUCGCCUGGAAAGGUGUGCCAGUCUGAGGCGCCGUGGGUUUCAGAAGGUGACAUUAAGGAGGUGGAGUUUCUGUGUGGAUGAGCUGGCAGCUCAGUUCAGAAGCCUCUCCCAGAACCCUGGACGUGGUGAAAGGGCAGGAGAAAUAACACCACGGACACCUCCAGGCUCUUAAACGACCCCGAGAAAGACAACGUUUCCCGAGCCAAGAGCCGAGCUGAAUGGAAGGAUUUAGGGAGCAGGAGCGGGGCUGCCAAAGUCUGGGCAAAAGCCCACAGGGCCAGCCCUGGCCAGCGGCCCCGAACACGGUGCGCCUGUGUCUCCCGCCUGGCAGGACACCUGCGACGGGUGGGGCCUGGCGGUGCCUGACCCCAGGUACCCUGGCCCUGCGGCCGCUGCCCGCCCUGCCCGCCCUGCCCGCCGCCCGAGGCCUCCUUGGGAACAGGAUCCCUCUCCAGACUCGCUGCAGGGCCGCGGGGCCGGGUGGACGCCGGGCUGCAGAUCCCCGGGACUCCUGGAGGGACGACCUGGACGGGACCCAUCUGGGCGCCAGCCGCUGCUUCCCUCCGUGUUCUUGGAAGACGUCGCUGGGCUCCUGCGGCGUUUGCAUGGCAGAGCAAACAUGGCCCUAAAAGGCUCUCUUAGGGGCAAUUAAUCGUUUUAACCCCAGAUGGUUCUUGGAAGGGCUCGGAUACCUUCACCGCAGGAGGAAUUUCUAAAUACCUAGUGGAGGCACCGUGUGUGUUUUUUCUUUUUUUUGCAAAAACCGUUUAACAAGGACUGCUUCUUUAGAAAGCAUUUUCUACCUAAAUGCAUCCAUGGCUGGACCUCAAGAAAUGAUUUAAGUGUUUUUCUAAAAGACAAGGCAGGUAUUUUUCAAGGCAACUGUUUUCAGGGAGAACACACUGCAGUUUUUGUGGAAAUGUCUUGAUACUUACAGAGAUUUUAAAAGAAAAUAUUUGGACUGUGGUUUAGGAAUCAAACAGUCUUAAGUAUGUAAAUAGUGACAGGCUGGACCCCUCUCUAAAAUAAUAUAUACUGACUCUUCGAGACAGGGACAGCUUCUGGAGGCCAGGCUGGGCCGUGGGACGCCCCCCCUCCCUGCACCCCCGGGGCCUGUUCCUUCUGCGGGAACAGUCGGAGAAUAAGCACAGGUGGGGCCGGCCCUUCACGUGGCAGAGGAGUCAGCUUCGUGGCAAGUGGCUCCGAUAAGAACAGCUUCCUGCGUCAUCUCUAUGUGAUCGUGCCAUUAACUCUGCUCCUUAAGCGUCUUCUUGAAGCGCCUGCUAUGGCCCAACGGGGUCAGCGGCAUCUUGGGAGCACUGCGAUGCAGGUUCGCUCCCCAGCCACGCACAGGGGGUUAAGGAUCCGGUGUUGGCGCAGUUGUAGCUUAGGUGGCAAUUGCGGCUCGGAUCUGACCUCUGGCCUUGGAGUUCCAUGUGCUGCGGGGCGGCCAAAAAGCAAACGAGCAAACAAACAGAAAGAGUCUUCUUGAAGAGCUUGUACUGGGCUCCCACAGCUUACGAUCCGAGAGGAUGUGUCAUUUUCCUGCCCAAACUGAAGCCAGAAUGGAUUGAUCCCAUUUCACAGGAGCGGGACGGUCCACCCAGCCCCUAGAGCACCCCUCGCGGGCAGUGGCUGCACAGGGGCACCUCACUUGGCUCCUCCUGGGCUCAUUUUGUGACAUCCACGCGUGAGUCAGCCCAGCUCUGCAUACGUCCUGGGCUGGGGGACCGGUGGCCUCGGAGCUGGACACCUGCAAGGUCUUCUGAUUAACCGGCAUGCUGUGAACUGGGUGUAUCGACCCACAGCAUUAAAAGCAGAAACCGACUGUAUGACCAAUGGGGACUUGGUGGCAGUCUGUGCCCUGCACGGGGACCGGAUGGGAGUAUUUGGCGAAGCCAGGGUUCUGCUCAUGAGAGCGUGGCCACUGCAGCAGGGACAGGUCCCGUGGUCAGGACACCCAGGCCACCAAUCUGUUGUAAAUCUCAUUUUAUUCAUAUUUAUCACUUAAUUAAUUUUGAGCACCUGUCUCAGGACAGUAGAAAGGAAAUCUGAGUUCAUCGCAGGUCGCCUUGACCCGUGAAGGUUGUGUCCGCUGCCCGGGCCUUGCUCCCGGGGCCAAGCUGCAGAUGCUCACCUGGCAAGGAGCCCACGGGCGGCCGGCCACGUCAGCCGGGAUGGCCUGGCUCGCAUUCAGCCUCGUGUCCGGGGAACCCUGCUGGUCCCGCUCCUUCCAUCCUGUCUCUUCAGGACGCGGCUCCCAGAGCGUGUCUGCCGUGCUGUCCGCCCACAAAAGCUUUCUGCCCUGAGCUCCCGCCGGCUCAAGGCUCCGUCAGCUUGCGUCCCCACAGACCUGGCUUGUGUCUCUACUGCUGGCUGCGAACCAGCGGAUUCUGUAUUCCCUUCCAUCCACCAAGGCCUGGGAUAAAGCCCUGCGAGAGGCCAGGCUGGGGGCGCAGGCCCUUCUUAGCGACGACAUGGGUUUCCCUCCCCUGCCCCAUCCUCAGCAAACUUCAGCAGGUCAGGGUACCAGCCAAACCGCCCUGACUCUUCUUUUUCUUCCGAGUCCUGCUUUGUGGGUCCAGCUUUGCAAAUUCAAAUGUCAAGACUUGAUAAAGGUCCUUGCUCUGCUGCUUUAAUAAUUCUUGCCUCAAGUAAAGGACACUUCGCGGGGGAGCUGGGUGGAGGUGGGUCGCAGGAAAGGCGUUACAGGGGAGAGAAGUGUGAUGACCGCUUUAUCAGACGGCACCCUGGCCCUGCGUUCAUGGAUUCGGAUCUGGGAUGGGUGGGAGUCACAUGGGGGUUACCAAGAUGGGAAUGUCACCCAAGACAUUAGUGUAAGCAGAGCCACGGAGCCUAAGAAAUGAGACAAGAAGCCCAGAAAGCGAGCAGGACCUGCCAAGAGCCCAGGCACUGGGACAGGACCAGUGACUGGGGGAGGAGGGCACACUCGGCCCUGCUCCGUCGGCCUCUCGAAGGCAUGGGGUCCCGCUGGGGGAGGCCAGGCCUCCAGUUCAGGCAAAGCACAUCCAGUCCUUUGGGCCGUGGGCAGCGCAGAGCGGGGCCUCCUCUGGUCCCGAGACGGCGAGAUGCUGUGUCGACGCCAGUGGUGCCUCGCUGCACCCGAUACGUCAGUUGGAAGGUCUUUGGAAGAUGUAAUUUCCCAGGGAAAUGUUUGCUGUUUCCUAUGAAAUAAAAGACAGAUGAAAAAAAAUUGGAUGAGCUCCACUGUGGAGCCAGUACGUCUGGGGCCACCCCGGAACUCCCUGCCGUCUUUGGAGACGUCCUUCCAAACCUGCCCACAGAGGUGUGACGGUGUAGGCGGCAUCUGUGCCUCUGUCGCUGACAGUUUCGUGGGACUCCUGGAUGCGUAAGGCUUGCGCAGGAAUGCUGUCCACAUUUUUGGAAUUUUUCCCACGGAGGAUUGAACUAGCCAGCCUUUGCACUGGGAGGUCGCACACUGGUGUGUGAGGACCCUGCGUGAGGAGGAGAGCGACGGGGCGGCUGGGUGUCCCCUUUCCCUGUCCCUGCGGUACCUUUUCAGUCCCAGACACUGUACUGGACUCUGGGACGCGUCAUCCCUUGACCUUCCUCUUUGACUUGCACCGAAAGGCUGUGCUGCUGUGUGACUUGCAACAUGUUUCGGCACCGUCUCUCCCAACUCCACUGUGAAAACUUUCAAGACACACCCACAGACACACAGACACACACACAGCUCUUACCCUUUAAGAAGCAGUUUCACACUGGCCAGCACCUGGCCUUCCGAGUUUGCCAUCGGCAGAAGAACAUUUGGCAAUUUGGUGGAGUAAAGCCUCUGUGACUUUCUAGGCUCUUAAUAUCAUCCUCUUAAAACAGCAGCGCAAAUCUGAGGUCCCAGAACCCUGGGAAGAGAAGAGUUAAAGGAACUUGACGAAAGCUCAAAACAACUGUUUUCCUUGAGAAUGGGGGCUAAGACCCUUUGGGGUUUGGGGGCGAGGUGUGGGAUCUUCAGUAUCAAAGACUCUUCCUAUCACAACAUCAGUGUGUAAUUGAAGUGAAAUAAUAAAGACGUGUGGGAAUG